CUAUAAGAAGAGAGCAGACAGCAGUGUUUUGAGGGUUAAUGUGUAAUUUUGUGCUUUUAAGCCUUGGGUCACUUGCUUUUUCUUUAGACAGGAGGUUGUUGUGUUUCUGGUAGUGGAAUUUAUAGGGAAGGGCAGAAGGCCAAAAGCACACCCUGAGCUGGAUGUCUGAAGAGGAGCACAGAGCAACCCAAAAUGGCUACUUAAGGCCAUCACCUGUCGUCCUAUUGCUGUUACCUGGGAGAAGAGGCCAACCCUCACCUUGCCACCACCUCUUUUCAGGCGGUUGUACAGAGUGAUAUCUGCAAAUCCCAUCCGCUGGUGGCCACUGACUGCUUAAUUUAUCAACAUGCCAUAUAGCUGAACCUGGGCAAUGCACUGGCUCUACAAUGCAUCACUGAGAGGUUUUCAGGUUUGUUUUCCUCCAAUAGCCCACCAGAAAAGCCCAUCUGAGGAUCAUAUCCUGGCCUCACUCUUCUACUGCUGAUUACAACAUUGCUGCUGCUCACAACACCUGGAAGCAACCUGACAUCUCUUGAGAGCCCACCUCUAUUCAUCAGCUGCUCUGUGCUCUUUGAGUGUUGUUGCAGGCUCUGGUGGCUCCAAAGCAGCUCACGGCCAACACGUGCUAGUGAUGCCAAUGUCCCUGCCCUGUCCAGCAGCGACCCCAGACUGCACAGAAACCCACCCCAUAGGAAGCGGGAUCACAGCUGAUGACUGCGGUUUCCCAUGCGGCCGCCGUUCCCACUGCCAUUGCCUUGUUGAUGGGGCUACAAGCACACUGCGGGGUGCCGACGUGGGGAUGAGUUAUCCAGAGCUCUGAGUACGGCAGAGCCAGCGGGGUUCCCAUGGAAGGAAAUCCCAGCGCUUCAUGAGCUCCAAAGAAUGGCAGGCAGCAAGGAGCAGGAAGCGCUUGUUAGGAAGGAGCGAGGAAAUGGAGCCUCUGCCCCAAUCCAAGCAAACUUUUGAGGACCGGAAAGUGGGAGUAGGAAGGUGUAAAAGUGCUUUGAGCUUUGGCAGAAGAUUGCAAAGGGCAAAGGGUGAAGGGAGAGGGACAAACACCGCCGCAGAGCUCAAGGAAGGGGCAGCCUGUGUGUGCGUGCCGUGGAGGGGACUUCACGGUGGAGCUGCUAAUUAAAUAAAGAAAGGCUCAUCGCCAUGCCUGUUAGGUUAACUCAGCAGGGAUAUUGCAAAAGCAAAUUCCUCCCAGCAAGUGUAAUUACAGGGCCGGAAUUCCUCCAGUUCCUUGUCCUUGCUGUGGAUUCUGCUAAAGCCAUCAGGUGAGGGGGAGCAUAAAAGUCCUGUGCAAUAACAACCCCCUCCUGGAGAAGCAAGGAUUUCACAUCAAGGCUUGACACUUUUCUCGCUGAUUAUUCUGGGGUGGAAAGUACACGUCAGACAAAACAGUCAGGGUCGUAGGGCUGCUUCCCCCAGGGUGGCACGCUCUCAUUAGGCGUGGAAAGAAGACAGUGAGGGGUCUGGGCAGGGCACUGUCAGGAUUUGGGAGGUGCCCACAUGCAGGAUCCAGCCCCUUCUGCUUGGCUGAGAAUUUACAGCACUCAGAUUGCUACAUCCCAGUGCAUCGUUGGAACAUUGGGAUGCCUGGGCUCAUCGUGGUACCCUAUGCUUACGUGGGGAGGGAAGACGCUCACAAGAGUCAGCACGUGAAGACAUCUCACCUGGUUUUGGGGGACAACAGGACUGCAGCUGGGGUUUCCCUCCAGCUGUGUGGAAUUACACUUAGAGCUGGUCCACGAAGAGUCCACAAGCGGUUGUCCCUGCCUGAGCAUCCCUGGGGCACUCAGCAUCCCUGCAGCCCUGAUACCCCCACCCCGGAACAGAGAGGUCCCGUCCUCUAACCCAGAUGCUUUGUGCCUGUAUAGGGGUUUAUCCAAGAAGCAUAUUUAAAAGAUGACCAGGCAGGGAUGACCACUGAUCUGAACUGAGCUUGUGACUGGGUUCUAUGCUGAACCAAAGCACCAAACAGCUGAGAUGGGAAACAUCACAGAGACUAAGCAGACACGUGGUGAUCCCACCCUGUGUGCUGGAAAGAGACCGCUCCCAGGUAAGAGGGGGAAGCUGGUGGUGAUGAUGCAUUCCAGAUGACACCAUGAAAUCAGAGAGGUUAUUUAUAGGUGGCUAAUUGAUUAGGGCAGCCACAGCAGGAGGAAAUGACUUUCAGGAGUGCCAGCCAGCUCUGGAGAGGUGUCAGGAAGAGCAGAAAGUCCCAAGAUGAUCAAAAGGCUUGAGAAAGAGAUGUUGUUCCUGACUUGGAUAAGGCCCGAAGAGAAGCCACGUGCCUGUGCUGCUCACAGAGCUCAUUGGUAGGACAGAGCUGCUGUAGGUCUGGGAAGCCACCAUCAAAUAUUGGUGGCUGUGUAUGAUGCUAGGGCAGGAGACAUCUCUUGGCUCUUCACAGCUGACCUUGUGGGUCUUUCUUUUCUGAGCUCCACUUAGAAGCUUGAAGUUCUCAGCUUUAAUUCAUUGAAGGCUUCAGAGAAUGCCCCAAAAUCUGCUCAGUGUCUUCCUAGGUGGGAUGAGUUUAUCCCACAGCUUCUUGAGCAGAACUCAUUCCCUUCAGCCACAGGAUCAUAGAAUAAUUAAGGUUGGAAAGAUCACUAAGAUCAUCUAGUCCAGUUGUCAACCCAUGUCUCUGAUCACUCUGGCCAUGUCACUCAGUGUAACAUCUACCCUUUUAGUGAACAUCUCCAUGGGUGGUGACUCCGUGGGUGGAGCAGCCUGCUCCAAUGCAUUAGCAUUCUUUCAGAGAAGUUUUUCCUAAUAUCCAGCCUGAACCUCCCCCAUAGGUACAACUUAAGUCCACAACCUCUUGUCCUGUCAGCAAGGUUGACCUUGUUGUUGGCUGUUGGGCUACCCAAAUCAGCAUCUCAGAGCAAUAGCAGCUCUUUUUCUUCUGACUUUUUUCUUCUUAUAAAUUUUCUUAUUAUUCCAGAAUAAACCUGUGCAACAUCACAUGCCUGUGACAGGGAAGAGGCCAUUCUGAGGAGGCAGUAUCCCAGCUGGCAUGGAUGUGGCUCACAGGGAGGUGGUGCCAGCCAUGCCGGAGGGAGCAUGCAAAGCAAUGUGAGCAGCAAUGGUGCACUGUCUCAGAGACUGUUCAUUUGGAAAUGGUGCUCUUUUCAACGGUUCUGUUAUCAGAUGGAGCAUUUCCUUCAUCAGUGUUAAUAUCCAUGUAGUGAAACAAUGAAAGGGCUUCCUAUCAGUUCCAAAUAGGACGUGAAAAGCUCUCAGCGUUAAGAGUAGAGGAUGCUGGAAUAGGGCAAUGGGAAACGCCUGAGUCACUGAAAUGCCUCUUUGAUUCCAUUAGGCUGAUAUGUUCAAAAGGGAAGAAGAAAAAAAAGAGAGAGAGCGAGAGUGGAGCUAGUUAAUGAUCUGAGGGACAGAGGGCAGGAAGGGCCUGCACUCAGCGUGAUCCCUGCAGAGGAGGGAAGGCACGGAGGGAUGUGCUGGCAUGAGCUUUGGAAAGUGGUGAGCACAGCAGGGAGCUGUGUGCAGGGAGCCACACGGUUUGUUUUUGGAGGGAGGGGAGGCUCAGUAGGGGAAUGGAGAAAUCCUUAACCCUGUGCACUUUGUCCUGCUGCCUCCUGGCUGUUGUGGUGCAGCGUUGUUCCCCCUGCCUGAGUGGUGCUCUGUCUGUGAUCUCUAUCAGGGUAGGGCUGUGCAGUGAUGUGCAGCACAGAGCAAGGAAAUGGCACAGGGAAAAUGAAAGGGCUGAAUGUGAUUUAAAGGCUCCACCAAGUGCUGCAGGCAGGGGGGGGGAAGGGAAAAGCCUGUUUGCCAAGCAUCCAAGGCCACCAGCCAGAGCAGGAGUGGUGCCCUUGCCCACCAUCCCAUCUGGGAGGGCACAUGGCCACUUGUGCUGGAGCUGUGGGCACUAGUGAGGGAUCUGCCAAGGCUGGGAGCACCUGCAGCCUGGGGCACAGCAAGCAGGAUUUCCCGACUGGAGUGGGGCAGGCAGCCAGGGCCAUGCAGUCACUGGCUGUUGCUCUGCAGGGAUUGAAGCACUCACUGCCCAUCCUGCCAACCAGGUGUCAGGCUGCUGUACAAACAUGUGGGCUUUGACACGUGCCAGGUCAGGGGCUGUGAGCAGAUUCUUUUCACUUUUUAUUUGCUAUUGUAAGAAAAGCAGCAAAGAGAAGGAUAUGGCAGAUCUCUGAGGAGGGUGGCCAAGCUCUGCAUUCCCAAGCCCCUGCUUUUUUUUUGCUACGUGCCCACACCUGCUCUCCAGAGAGGUGACCCACUCCUUAUCCCUCCCCAUCCUUUACACAGGAGGUGUGCUGGGCUCUCAGGUACAGGGCUGCCCUUUGUGGCAGUGAGAUGGGAGGUGCUGAAAAGCUGGGGAGCUGUGCCAGCUCUGCUGAAAACCUACCCUGGGGAGCGGGUGGCCAGGAGGCUGGUGUACAAAGGGCUGUCCUGUCCUCACACCUGUGGGGAGGCCAGGUGCUGACAUCGGGGGGACUGAGUGCCUGGCAGGAGGGAAGGUGAUCAUUGCGCCUGGGCAUGGUGCUGUGUGGAGGGGAUGGAGGAGCACGGGUAGUUCUCUUCCCCAUCUAUCCAGCACUCAAAUCAGGGCAUCCAGGUGGUGCUUGCUGGGAUGCACCUUGGCCAGUUCGUUUUCUGCCACUGUAGGAGAAACUGGUGCCAUCACUGAGCUUCAGCGCUGGCGAAGCUUGGCCGAUGGUGCCCUCCCGCGGUACAGCAGUCCGGCUGCGAGCCGCGUCCCCGGGCGGAGCUGUAUCCAGGCCGGGAUGCUCGCAGUGCCCAGGGGAGGAGAUGGCUCUGGGGUUCUGAAGUCAGCCCCACCAGCGUCCCGUGGGAUGCGCUCGUGCUGGACACCCGCUGAGACCCCGGGGCUGGAAUAAAGGUUCGUGGAGCCUCAGGUGGGGCACGAAGUGAUGGGGUGGCCCCAGAGGAGCUUCUCGGGAUAGGCAGUGUGUGGUGAGUUACGCUCAGUGCUCAUACACCCCUGCUGUUUGUGCCCUGAGCAGGGACGGAGCGUUUCUUUCCUGUCCCAGCUGGGAAGGGCUGGGUCCCUGCCAGCUUUCCUGUUUGUGUUCCAUCCUGCCGCUCCCCAGCAGCCGGGCUCUCGCAGAUCCCAGCCCUACAAGCCCCCACUGCACUACAGGACACACUGGGCCAUGCGGGUGGCUUGGUCCCUGCUCCACAUGUCCCCAGGGGCUGUGCAGGAGGAGAAACAGUGUCAACCAGCUCUUUUCAGAGUCUGAGCAACACCUGUAAGCCUUCAAGUCACAGCCUUUGGAGCUGCAGGCAUGUAAGGGGUAACUCUUUGUUUUGCUGGGGUAGGGGGAGGAGAUGGGCUCCCUCCAGCUGGCUGUGCCAGCCGAUCCACAGGCAUACAGUGGUGAGAGAUGUCUCCUGGAACUGUCAGGACACGAGGACAGAGGUUCCAGCCCUGCCCUGCAGAUGGGCUGAGGUAGGGCUGCUAUCAAAGCAAAGCCUGGAAGCUCCAGAAUUAGGAAAUUAAGGGCUUGCAUUGUUUUCCCCAGUCCAGAUGGGGUGGAUACCAGGCAGGAUUAGUCUGGCAGAGCUUCCCAGUAUUCUGCAAGGGGCACAAUAGGACCUUAAAGAGAAGAAGCUGCACUGAUGACAGGUGAGAGGCACAUCUCUCAGCAUCCUCUGCCUCCUUGAUGCACAUGGGAUGCACUCACUGCAGGUGCUGCUGCUUUGUGCUCCGCUAUGACAGGGAACACUUCCCUAUGUAUCCUAGCACCACUGGGCUGCAGGGUGGGCUCAGAGGCACCAGCCCUUUUAAGGCAUGGGGAGAGGAGAGGUAGGGUAUGGUGGGGAGGGAUGGGAGCAAUGCCUGAGAAAAUAGGGAUGUGAGGUAAACAGAUAAUUAUCACUUGUGGGAGUGAUGGCUCCUCUGGUACGGAGUGAGGUCAUGUGGGGAGCAGAGCAGGAAGCUGCUAGAUGGCACCUCCUGCCCAAAUACAUGUCCUUGUUGGGCAUGGAUAGAAGGUCCAGACCUCCUGAUGAGGCUGGGGCUCAGCUGCUUCCUCAGGGUGCAGGGUGAUGCUUCAAGCCUUAUGUGCUUUACAUGGAAUUUCCCAGAGUCUGGUGCCUGGGCUCAGACUCUUGGCACAGGAGAAUGAUGCUGGUACUACAGACAGCACUUCUGUAUGAGGAUGUGCCUCCCCCCCUCUGCAGCUGGUUCCUGCACAUAGGUUGUUCUGUGGGUGUCUGAAACUGGUUUGAGGUUGUUUCUGUAAUGGGGAAAAGGGGAAGGAGGGAGGAGAAGCCCUUUCAUGCCCAUUCAGUCCCUGCAGCAGCCAUGCUCCUGCUUCUGAGUUUUGCUGAAACCUAUAUUGCUACGAGCCAAAUAUAACUGAAUAGAGAGACACACCUGAGCUGUGAGGGGUGGUAAGAGAGAGCCAGGGGUGUUCACUGCAGCCUGGGGAGCUGCCACUCCAGUGAGCUGCAGUGAUUGCCCAGGUCCUUGUCAAAACCACAGCUUUGCCCUGUGGCAUGCAACAGCCUCUGUUCCCCUGUGAUAACUUGUGAGCUGUGAUAGAGCAUGAAGCCAUGGGGAACACAAGCACAUGUCAUCAGUCAGCUCUUCUACUGUGGGUAACCCAUAGGCUUGGAGCUGGCUUGUGCAUGGCAGUGCUCAGUGUAGCAGUGCUAUGCUGGGCUGUGAGUGCACACAGGCUGCUGAGAGAAGGUAGAAACUCGCUGCCUAGCCCACUGCAAGAGCUGCAGUGCUGCAAGCCGGGCUGGGAAUUGGAGAGAUAAUGGCACACCUCAGGCAUCCAGCAGCAGCACCUCUGGGUCUGGGGAGCCUGGGGGGCAUCUCGCUGCUGUUGUGGUCCCACAGAGCAUCCGGAGCAUCUGUUGGGCUUUAGGGCCAGGCAUCAAUGCACCCUGGCUGGCACACCGUGUUUAUGAAACCCCCCAUUCUUGCGGUUGACCAGAAGGCUGAAAUAAGCCUGUCCGGAAUUGGUUGCAGGGCUCUGUAUCCUGAUGUGGUGAGGAGCUCAGCAGGGUGGCUGCUGGCUGUGAGGAUGGUGGGGUUUGGCACAAGGAGCGCCCCAGGGCCCCGCCAGCACCCGGAAAGCUCAGCCUGGCACUAACGGAACUGUGAUAAAAAUGAACGUGACCAGGACAGCGAGGAGAGGGAGAUUAAUGUCUGAUUGUCAGAGGGGAGGAAACUAAGGCAGACAGUGCUCAAACAGAUACUGGAGAGGGGCUGGUGCUGCUUUUCCCAGUAUUGCUGCAUCUGUAGGUCCGCAUCUACCCCUGCGGCCUUCAUGGAGAGAGGAGAGGACAAAGGGCAUGCAGCCAGCCCAUGUCCCAUCAACAUCCCACCCCUGCAGGUGAGGGACAUGCUCUCCAGACAGGCCUGAGCAAUACCAUCAUCAGCGCUUGCUGCCUGAAGCAUCACAUCACUGCACAUCCCUGUGGGGCUUUUCAUAGGCCAGGUUUGCUCACUUCCCCAAAGCCCCCGCAGUCCCCUUGUGGGGAGGAUUAGUUCCAUCAGUGUCAGUGAGCCCAGCAGCGCUUCUCUCCAGCCCUCCCUUCUGUAGGUCAUCUCUGCCGGCCCCGAUCCCCAUCCCUUCCGAGUGAGACAACCCAAGUGUGGACCUGCAGGGACACCUGGUGGCUGCCAGCCUCACUGCGGGGCAGGAAGGUCCCCGGGGCUGCGUGGGAGCUGCGUGACUGCCCCGUGGGAACUCGGCCUGGGACUGCUGCAGCGUUUGGUUUGGUUUGAGAUUUGUUCAUUUGUGGUAGCAAGUAAUUAGUGUCCCCCCUUUCUCAGCUCUGCUCCACUUUAUUGGGACAGUGCUGAGCUCCUCUGCAGCUAUGUCUUUCCAGUUCCUUAUUUUUAGAAGCCAUCUUUUAUACAGCCCAAGCAGCAGCCCCAGCACAGUGAGCUCUAUUAGGAUGCUCACUCUGGUUCUCUAAUACCCUUUAGCACCGAUGUAACUCACUCCCCGCUGAUGGCACUUGGUCCUCCACACCUGAGCUCAUAGCUUGUCCCUUUUGCCUGCUGCUAAGACAUGGUGCCAUCUGGAUUUGCUCUUUCAGCAUCUCCUCCCCAGCCUGUAGGAUUUCCCAGAGGUCACAAUAAAAGUAUGCUGACUUUACUAUAGGGAUUCUGAGCAUCCCCUUCC